CCUCUGACCGGGCAGCGGCCGAGGGCAGGGCGGAGGCUGACAUGGCCCUGACUGAGGGCAUGGCCAGCUCAAACAGCCAGACUCAGGCCAUCCCAGAUACUGACACCAUGAUCUCACUGACUGUGCUAGCCAUGGUCAGGGACAUUCUACAGAGACUCACAUCCUGCGACACUGUGGACGCCGAGCUGCAAAUGGACAUUCUGAGCCUGACUGAAAGAUACCCUGCUCACGUGGUGAUGAUCCUCCUGUGCUGUGCCCCACUGUGUGACAGAGAUGCCACACUGAUGUGGAGGGCCAUGGGCACCUCGGAAGUAGCUGCGGAGGAGGUGCUUCCAGCACUGCUCUCUGUGCUAGAGAAGCAGCCACCAUGCAGCAGGAUCUUCUGCAGCGGGGACGAGGCC